GACGAACGCUGGCGGCGUGCUUAACACAUGCAAGUCGAACGGAAAGGCCCUGCUUUUGUGGGGUGCUCGAGUGGCGAACGGGUGAGUAACACGUGAGUAACCUGCCCUUGACUUUGGGAUAACUUCAGGAAACUGGGGCUAAUACCGGAUAGGAGCUCCUGCUGCAUGGUGGGGGUUGGAAAGUUUCGGCGGUUGGGGAUGGACUCGCGGCUUAUCAGCUUGUUGGUGGGGUAGUGGCUUACCAAGGCUUUGACGGGUAGCCGGCCUGAGAGGGUGACCGGCCACAUUGGGACUGAGAUACGGCCCAUACGCCAACGGGAGGCAGGAGUGGGGAAUAUUGCACAAUGGGCGGAAGCCGGAUGCAGCAACGCCGCGUGCGGGAUGACGGCCGUCGGGUUGUAACCCGCUUUCGCCUGUGACGAAGCGUGAGUGACGGUAAUGUGUAAAGAAGCACCGGCUAACUACGUG
rnacentral:rRNA from 1 species